AGGUGGUGGCAUGGUUGUCGUCAGCUCGUGUCGUGAGAUGUUCGGUUAAGUCCGCUAACGAGCGCAACCCUCGCUGUGUGUUAUAUGUGUCACACGGGACGUGCCGGUCUUAAGCCGGAGGAAGGUGGGGAGUGAUGUCAAGUCAGCAUGGCCUUUAUAUCCUGGGCUACACACACGCUACAAUGGCCACACAAUAGGUUGCUAAGCCGCGAGGUGGCGCCAAUCCAUAAAGUUGGUCUCAGUUCAGAUUGUAGGCUGCAACCCGCCUGCAUGAAGAUGGAGUUGCUAGUAACCGCAGGUCAGCUAUACUGCGGUGAAUACGUUCCCGGGGCUU
rnacentral:rRNA from 1 species